CUACGUGCCAGCAGCCGCGGUAAUACGUAGGUGGCAAGCGUUGUCCGGAAUUAUUGGGCGUAAAGCGCGCGCAGGCGGAUUGGUCAGUCUGUCUUAAAAGUUCGGGGCUUAACCCCGUGAUGGGAUGGAAACUGCCAAUCUAGAGUAUCGGAGAGGAAAGUGGAAUUCCUAGUGUAGCGGUGAAAUGCGUAGAUAUUAGGAAGAACACCAGUGGCGAAGGCGACUUUCUGGACGAAAACUGACGCUGAGGCGCGAAAGCCAGGGGAGCGAACGGGAUUAGAUACCCCGGUAGUCCUGGCCGUAAACGAUGGGUACUAGGUGUAGGAGGUAUCGACCCCUUCCGUGCCGGAGUUAACGCAAUAAGUACCCCGCCUGGGGAGUACGACCGCAAGGUUGAAACUCAAAGGAAUUGACGGGGGCCCGCACAAGCGGUGGAGCAUGUGGUUUAAUUCGAUGCAACGCGAAGAACCUUACCUACUCUUGACAUCCAGA
rnacentral:rRNA from 1 species